AUAUUUGGACUUCUUGAUCAACUUAGCCAAGUAAAGAUUUUAGAAAGAUUGAUCUACGAGGCGUUGUUGUAUUACGUGCUUUCCUGCUCGAGAAUGCGCCGGGCGUCUGGCUAUAGAAGGUAGUAUAGAGAUUCGCUAAUAUUCAAGCAGUCUAUCGGUUUUUGACUGUUGGAAUAUAAACAAUUGCAAGAAUAUAUCGUAAAUCUAUACAGAUGUCCUUCGACUGCUCGCCAAAGUCUUUUUUGCCCCAGUCGGUAGGUCUCUAGAUGUUACAGAGAACCCAAAACAACCCAAACUGCUAAUCUUCGAUACCGCUUUAUACUCACGACCUUGUAUCCACUGACUGUCUCGUUAGAUUAACCCAAUAAAUUUCAUUCACUCCGCAUACUCAAUCCUAUAGACACCCUUUUAAUUCUUCAUCACAGACGUAACUCGAUUUUAUAAAACAGUCAAGAGUAAUCACAUCCACUUCAUUAAAAUCCUGAUUCACCAGUACAACACUGACUUCAGCAACGAUUGCCUCAGUCUUCCCAAAACCCUAUGAAGAAAAAAAAAACCCCCAAUUCUCUAUCUUUUUUCCCCGCCCCGAAGCAUGAAGCUCGCUCUCUGACCCUUCAACAAAAAACCCUCCAAAAUCUUAUUCUCUCCCCCUCAUUUCUUAACCUAUCUUCUCCUUUAAUCCUAAUUCUCUCCUCUUUCAAACCCUAGCCUCUGAAUUUCUUCAAUCUUCCAUCUUGGAUCCGAAAUUGGCUCCCGCUAUCAGAGCUUUCUCCUCCAUUUUUACCUUUAAGAGAUCCUUUUACAGAAAGGACGUUCUCGAAAUGGCACAAAAGAUGGAAUAGCCUAAAACGGAAUCGAAACCCCAGUAAUCAGGACCACAUUGAGACACCCGACCAAUUCAGGUCUCAUAUUGGCUAAGAGGCCCGUAGUAAGACCUGAAUGUUUCCGUAAUUGGUCCGCAUUGGAUUGCUCGACCAAGUCAGGUCUCAUAUUGGGUAAGAGGCCCGUAAUAUGACUUGGAUUGGAUGUCUUGAAAUUGGAUCCAAUUGGCUCUUUGAACCAGGCUCACCCGUCUUUGAAUUGGUCCUUUCCCUUCCUACUGACUCCCGUUAUUGGAAUCGAAUGGAGUAUUUCAGUAUGCCCCGGCUGACUGUAAUGGGUGACUGAACUUGGCCUCUCAAUAUUUGCACUGGAAUUGGUCGUUGCUCCCAAUAUUCGAGGUAACGAAUAUUAAUAAAAGUCCCCUUUUUUUAUAUUUUCACAGUAUACUCGUGUUACAAUAUGACAUCCACCCCCUUUGAACUUGUGCAUCCUCUAGUAUGUACCAAAUUACCCAAUUGUUGUUUGAUUUAGAAUAUAUUCUCUACGUCUUUGUGCAGUUCGUCUUCGUCACCUUCAUUAUCCAAAUCACUUUCAUCUUCUUGUUGCAUACCCAACUUGCGUAAUUCUCCUUCAAUAUCAUAUAAUCUUUUUCUUUCUUUUCUUUUAAAAUCAUUAACUUUCUUAUACAUAAUAUUUCCAUUCUCCAAUAUAUCAAUAAAACUCGCAUCAAAGGCACCUUCAUCUCGCGAGAGUACCUCCUCUUUUGUACCUCCAUAAUCUCGCUUUACAGUGGUACCUCCCCAAAAUCCUUAAAUCUUUCAACAAUCUUUGGCAAUAGUUUCUCCCUCAACCUAUCUCGAUUCCGUUCAUGGUUAGGAGGUACUGUUAGAAAUUGUAUAGCUUUCCUCCCAUCUUCGCUACAUACCCUUGCAUAAGCAGAACCAUCGUCAAGUACUUUUGUUUCCAUCCGUGUUGCCGUAAUAUAAGGUUGUCCUAAAAUCAACGCAUAAGAUGUUGUAUCUUGAACAAAGAAAUGUUGCUCCGUCGCAACAUCUUCAAUCCAAAUUUUGACAUCUGGACAAGCUCCAUAUAAUUCGCCCCGUGUGUUAUUAGCUGCUCGUAUUGUCCAUCCAUGUUCCAUAUCAAUUGGCUAUUUUCACUUCUUAUAAAGAUCUUUAGACAUAAGAUUUAUUUCAGAACCAUGGUCGACUAAAACAACAAUUGGUUCUUCUAUAUCUCCUACUUUCACCAAUACCUCAGUAGUUGCCCUUGCCCAAUGCUUUCGAGUAUAAUGGCUCAAAGUUUCUAUUUCCUUAUCACUAUAAUCUUCGAAAUGUACUCGUUGAUUAUACCCAUUCUUUUCAUUUGUUGGUUGCUUGUAACCAAUAUCAACCUCUUCUUCAUCUCUAUAUAUUCUUGCAUCAAUAGCAUGACUCAUUCCAGUUUCAUCCAUUAAUUGCCUCUUUCGCUUAAUGUUGUCAAUGAUAACAUCAUAAAACUCCUUCUUUGCAAUUUCCAAAACUUCUUUCAAUGUGAAUUCCACCUUAGCAUUUAAUAUACGUUCUUCCAACACCCCUUUCAAAUUUGUUGCUGCUUCAAUGUCAGAAAGUAGCUUAUAAGCAAUUGAUUUGCCCUUAUCUUUUGUCUCCCUUGUUUUUUCUUCCAAUGAUGCUGAGGUAUCCUUUACAGGCAAUUCUUGUGAAGCUGCCUCCUAAGCCUUGUCUCCUUGAGUUUGCCUCUUAAAUGAAUUUCCUUCUCUCGUAUCAUCAAAAUUUCCUCGUCUCUUUUCUUCCAUCAAAGCUUCAUGUUGGCUCUUAGCAAUAUAUGCCUGAACUGAAAGAGACUCAAUAGGAUCCUCCCAACCUGUUGCACCUCGUAUUGUAGCUGCAGUCCUCAAUAAUGCUUCUCGAGGUAGUUUCCCUUCUUGCAUUGUAAAAAUGGCAGAAGCCCAAAACUCACUAGUUUUCGUACUUCCACCAAGGUCAUCAUCUACUCUAGCACCAUAACUUGUACUUUCUCGUGCUACUAUUUCAUGCUCUUUUAAAUAAUCUUGAACCAAUGCUCUCAUUCCUCCCUUGCCAAAAUUGGUUUGAAGAAGAUCCUCCCUAUCUUUUAAUGCUAUCUUCCCAUCUUUUCAGCAAAUAAUUCCUUGCCGUAUCAUAUUAUUAAAUUCAUUGCAAUCUUUUCUAGUGUGUGAAGCGUCAUCACACUAAAUGUAUCUUUGUACAUAUCCUUGUUUUGAAACAUUCUUCGAAUUAUUUGUAGAAGUAUUCUCUUGAAGUCUUGCUAAUUUGAUUUGAAGAUCUCGCAUUCCUCGUAUAAUUUCUUCCAUCCCCAUAUCUGCUCUCUUCGAUAAGAAUGUCGAAAGUUGAACUGUAGGCAUUGUUGGUGGUGUUGUACGUACUGGAGCUUUGGAUGCUUGUACUGUUUUUGGAAUAUUGCUCCUAUCCUUCCUCCUUUCUCUUUUUGUAAGCAAUCCCACCGCAGCUUCAACGUUCUUCCACUUUGUUGUCAAUCUUUCAUCUUCUUCUUUGUCUUCAAGAAGGAGUUCUAAUUUCCCUUGCAAUUUUUCAUCACCAGCUUGAAGAAAUAGAUCAACUUUGUUCGGCUCCAAUGUCAAUUUUUCUACCUUCGACAAUUGAGAGUAUUGCCUCUCAAAUUCCCUUAGUAGCUCUGUUGCUUGCAAAUUCUUAUUAGGCCGUUCAAUCCAUUCCAGAAACAGCUUCUUAGUAACGCGAUCAGCAUCUUCCAAGAAAUAUUCGUCUUUCAAUGCAUGUGAAAAAAUCUCCCAUGAAUUCCCAUAAGGAUCCGUAAUCGAUGUAAUAUGGUCUCUUAUCUCCGGUAUUAUGGCAAGUCCAAAUAAUUCAACCAUUUUCUUCUCAGAAACCCGAUUUAAUUCUAUUUCACAAACAUAACAUCUUAAAUACCUUGAAAUAUUCCUUCCAUCAAAUUGAUCAAUUUUAUUGACCACUGCUUGCAAUGCUUUGGUUGCCAAAGCUUCCUUUUGACCAUUGCUUUGCUGUUGCUACAUUGAUAAUGAGAAGGCUUGAAACAUACUAGCAAUAGAUGGAUCCAUGUGCAUACCUUGUCCUUUAGAAGAACCUCCACCAGAAACUCCUCUCAAAGAACUUUCAAAAUUUUUAUUUUUGUUUUCUAUAAAAAUAAAAAUAAAAUCAAACAAAAUCCAAUACCUUCCACCUUAAGCUUUCACGUCGGGUUCACCACUUUUUGUCGUAUUAUGUGCUUUCCUACUCGAAAAUGCGUCGAGCGUCUGGCUAUAGAAGGUAGUAUAGAGAUUCGCUAAUAUUCAAGCAGUCUAUCGGUUUUUGACUGUUGGAAUAUAAACAAUUGCAAGAAUAUAUCGUAAAUCUAUACAGAUGUCCUUUGACUGCUCGUUGAAGUCCUUUUUGCCCCAGCCGGUAGAUCUCUAGAUGUUACAGAGAACCCAGAACAACCCAAACUGCUAAUCUUCGAUACCGCUUUAUACUCACGACCUUGUAUCCACUGACUGUCUCGUUAGAUUAACCCAAUAAAUUUCAUUC
rnacentral:lncRNA from 1 species